GCCCCAUGCUCUAUAUAUAACACUUAGAUAAACAAAUAUGGAGGUAAAUCAGACAAUGCAGUAAAUUUUAAAGUUAUAAACUCGACAAUUCUUUUACUGGUUCAUCAUCAUCUUCAAUAUCCCAACUUAAAUCCUCCUCUUCUUCUGCAGCACUCAACCGCUUCCGCAAAUCAAUCUUGCUUGGACUUGAACUGUGACUCACUCUCUUCUCAUCAAUGCUGCUUAGAUCCUCAAUCUCAUCCCACCCAAGAUCUUCCUCCUCUGGCAUUGAUGGGUGGCUGGAUAUAACAGAAACAUCACUAUCUUUAGAAGAUUCUCCAUUGUCACCCUUCCCUUCUGAUCCUCCUUUUUGAUCAGAUUUUGAUACAGUCUCUUCUUCACUCUUCAACAAAUCAACUUUCUCACUGGCUACAUUCUCACCACCACUCCAUACCUUCUCUCCCGCUGAUUCCACAAAAGAGAUUUCCUCAUCCUUCACCUUCACACCUUGUUCAGUCUCUCCGCUGCCCGGCUUAUUAAUUUCAUCACUCUUCACAAUUUGCUCAGACUCUUUAAGAUGCAUAUACUUCUCCUCGUCUUUUGUAUUUUUUAAAGAAUCUUUGUUUCCCAAAUCAUCAUUUUCCUUCAAAGUGACAUUCCUUUGAUCUUCCUUUUCCUCCUCUUCAUCAUCAUCAACAUCCCAACUCAAGUCAUCCUCUUCUGUCGAGAUUGCUCUCUUCACAAGAUUAGCCCUCACAUCUUCAGCUUGCUUGAGCUUAUAAAGCUUAAAAAAGUAUCUACACCAAAAUGUCUCAUCAUCAACACCAUUUGGCACAACCCUUUUGUAUAUACUCUCCACAGCACCAUUCUGCUCAAGCAAGCUUUCAACCUCCUCUCUCUUCUUCUCCAAUACAAAACCUAAUUUCCAUUUCUUAUAAUCAUCCAAAUCCUCUGGCUCAUCACAGUAGGUGCUCGCAUCGCCUUGAAUCGCCCGUACCUGAGCAUCAAAACGACUAUAUGGUUUCGAAUUCAAGCUCUGCUGACUAGUAAUACUCCUGUCGUUAUUAUUAUCAGAUGAAUCUGAUUCGUGAUCGGCGGCGAGGAUAGCCUCUUUGCCCUGGGAAAUGAUCUGCGCCGUAUUUUUCAACACGGAACUUCCAAGCUCGUCAAUGGCGUGACCCACGGUCUCUAGAGAUCCAUGAGCAACCUCGAUUUCCUUCUUCAGACCCGACCCAAAUUCCUUAAGAUCGCGACGGUAGAUUUCGAUGACGGAUUCAGAUUUGGUUGUUAGGGUUCUGAUGAGACCCCCAAAGCUCCACCCAGCACCUCCACUGCUGCUGCCAGCAUCGUUAAGGUCAGGGUUAGGAUUUUGCUGCUUAGGAGGGGAAUUGGGAUCUGAGUCCGAUGCUGGUUGAUUAGAGGAGGGUUUGGAAUCAGAAUUAGGAGAAUCUGGUUCGUCUGCGAACACCGACUUGAAGAAAUUCAUUGGGAAUUUGAGAAAAAUUGGCGACGGGAGUUAGUGGCUUCGGGGAAUACUGAGAACUAAGCGCGCACCCAGAAGAGGAGGUCAAUUUCUGGCUUUGAC
rnacentral:misc_RNA from 1 species